GCGGCGGACGGGUGAGUAAUGCCUAGGAAUCUGCCUGGUAGUGGGGGAUAACGUUCCGAAAGGAACGCUAAUACCGCAUACGUCCUACGGGAGAAAGCAGGGGACCUUCGGGCCUUGCGCUAUCAGAUGAGCCUAGGUCGGAUUAGCUAGUUGGUGAGGUAAUGGCUCACCAAGGCGACGAUCCGUAACUGGUCUGAGAGGAUGAUCAGUCACACUGGAACUGAGACACGGUCCAGACUCCUACGGGAGGCAGCAGUGGGGAAUAUUGGACAAUGGGCGAAAGCCUGAUCCAGCCAUGCCGCGUGUGUGAAGAAGGUCUUCGGAUUGUAAAGCACUUUAAGUUGGGAGGAAGGGCAUUAAGCUAAUACCUUGCUGUUUUGACGUUACCGACAGAAUAAGCACCGGCUAACUUCGUGCCAGCAGCCGCGGUAAUACGAAGGGUGCAAGCGUUAAUCGGAAUUACUGGGCGUAAAGCGCGCGUAGGUGGUUCGUUAAGUUGGA
rnacentral:rRNA from 1 species